rnacentral:tRNA from 1 species
UCCUCGGUAGCUCAGUUGGUAGAGCAGGUGACUGUUAAUCACCCUGUCGGGGGUUCGAAUCCCUCCCGAGGAGCCA